UUUUAAAUUGAGAGUUUGAUCCUGGCUCAGGACGAACGCUGGCGGCGUGCCUAACACAUGCAAGUCGAGC
rnacentral:rRNA from 1 species